AGUGAACGCUGGCGGUAGGCCUAACACAUGCAAGUCGAACGGCAGCACAGUAAGAGCUUGCUCUUACGGGUGGCGAGUGGCGGACGGGUGAGGAAUACAUCGGAAUCUACUUUUUCGUGGGGGAUAACGUAGGGAAACUUACGCUAAUACCGCAUACGACCUACGGGUGAAAGCAGGGGAUCUUCGGACCUUGCGCGAUUGAAUGAGCCGAUGUCGGAUUAGCUAGUUGGCGGGGUAAAGGCCCACCAAGGCGACGAUCCGUAGCUGGUCUGAGAGGAUGAUCGGCCACACUUGAACUGAGACACGGUCCAGACUCCGACGGGAGGCAGCAGUGGGGAAUAUUGGACAAUGGGCGCAAGCCUGAUCCAGCCAUACCGCGUGGGUGAAGAAGGCCUUCGGGUUGUAAAGCCCUUUUGUUGGGAAAGAAAAGCAGCAGGUUAAUACCCCGCUGUUCUGACGGUACCCAAAGAAUAAGCACCGGCUAACUUCGUG
rnacentral:rRNA from 1 species